rnacentral:rRNA from 1 species
UACGAAGGUGGCAAGCGUUGCUCGGAUUUAUUGGGUGUAAAGGGCAGGUAGGCGGUUUUGUAAGUCUGUUGUGAAAGCCCAGGGCUCAACCCUGGAAUUGCACCGGAAACUACAAGACUUGAGUAUCGGAGGGGUAAGGAGAAUUCCUAGUGUAAGGGUGAAAUCUGUAGAUAUUAGGAGGAACACCGAUGGCGAAGGCACCUUACUGGACGAAUACUGACGCUGAACUGCGAAAGCUAGGGGAGCAAACAGG